AAGGAGCAAUACAUUGAAUAUCUCCAAACCAUGGAUUUGCAGCACAUACAUAAUAACAUUAGUUAGUAGGCGCCAAGUAACUUCCUAAUGAUCUACAUGAACCAAAAGUUUGCAUUCAUCACAAAGAAAACCAGAAUUUCACUUCGAUUUCUGGUAAAUUUAACACAAUAAGCUGCUUAAAAUCUCACUACAAAUUAAAAAUCCUAACCUCUGUCUCCUCCUUGAGUCCUCCAAUCAAUAGCAAAUUAACAACGAAUCGCGUUUAAGAAAAACAGAAAUUUGGUAUUUUUAAUUGAUUAGAAGACAAAAUCUCUACUGUUAAUUGGUUUUAAAAUGCAGAGCUUCAAAAUCCAAAAAAUAAAAAGCAUUUUAGUGGAGAACUUUCAGAAAAAAAAAAAAAAAAAAAAAGCAUUUCAGUGGAGCACCUUCAAUGGAGCUUCAAGAAAAUCAUGAGCUUUGAUGGAGCUUCAAUGGUGCGAUGAUGAAGUUAGAUUCUUGUCAGACCUUCAAGCUUUAAGUUUCGGAAAUAAUUUUGCAACUUCAAUGGAGAUUAAACAAAGCUUAACAGUUUCGAUGUUUGGUCGCUGAUGGAGGUCGCCGAUGGAGGAUUGUUGCAAAUUGUAAAUUUGUCGAGAUAAUAGGUCCGUUAAAGGAAAAGGAUGGAUCAGUUUAAUGAUAUGGGUGGAAUAUGAGUCGUUAGAUUCAAAUAAUCUAAUGGUUCAGGUUCAUUCUCACAUAUAUUUUUGUUCUCACAUAACAUAUGUGUUCUCAUAUGAGCCCAAAUCUACAUAGAAUUGAGUUCAGGUGAGAAUGAGGUUUUACAUGAGAAAUGAGAAAGAAUAACAGCCCUUAGAUCAUGUUACAUGUAACGCUCAAGAUUAAAAAUAAAAAGGGAUUACCCUCAUCAAUCUUACGCAUAACUCGCUGAUCCUAUCUCUCUUCUCUCUCCUCUCUCCCAACUCUCAAGUUUGGUUCUUCUGCAAAUACUCCUCUCUGUUUGACGGUUUCAAUUUUUUUUUCUGCAAUUUGUUCAUCGAUUUUCUUCUGCAAUUCACCAAAAUCAACUACUUCGACGGUUUCAAGUUUUUUUCUGCUAUUUGUUCAGCGAUUUUCUUCUGCAAUUCACCAAAAUCAACUAGUUCAGCGAUUUAGUUUGAUUGUUGCAGACAGUAUGGGAGAGAAAGGGGUUUGUGUUUUGUGUUCGAUGUAGAGAGAGGAUGAAAGAGGAGCUCUUGUUGAUGGGUGGUAGCGAUAACUUUGACAUAGACGUUGAAUUUGUUUAGUGUUGUAUUCAAUAUUGACAUUCUUAGCAUUAAUUACUUCACCAUUGUUUGUAUAAUUUUUUAUCAGUUUGGAGCUUGAGACUUUUUUUUACCUCCUGUAUAUACUCUCUGGAGCUUGUAAUUAUCAAUCAUCUUAAUGAUAAUCAAUUAUAACUUUUAAACAUGUAUUAGCAUCACUCUAAUAGGUAUUUCUGUAAAGUUAACUAUUCAUUCGUAUAACUCUAAAGAGGAUUGCCAUAAUUAUAAUCUGUACAUCCUAUAACUCUUAACAAGCAUUGUUAUAACUCUUAACUCUUAAAUACUACUACCUACUACUCUAAUUAAUUGUUGUCAGUACUCUAAAUAGUAUUUCUUAUAAUUUUAAAUAAGUAUUGGUGUACUUCUUCACUAUUAUAUCCUACAACUCUAAUCAAGUGUUGCCAUAAUCGUAAAUGAUAAUUGAUGUAUACAUGUGGGGGUUACUUAAUGUCAUGAUGUUUUAGUGAUGGUUUAAUUUGUGUUUUAUCUAUGUGUUACUCUUAACUUGGACACCUGUGGCAAACAUGAUUAUAUGAGUACCACUAUAAUCGAUAUUUUAUGUUUUGAAUAUUCAAUUCUGGUUGUAUGAAUGUGUGAUUAGUUUAUGUAUGUGUAUGUAGAUAUGAACAUUGUCGAGGUUGGUAAUGUGAACGGUAAGCGUAGUGCAGGUCAAAGUAUGGAUUUGGUUGAUAAGAAAGGGGCCAAAUUACUUAAAAAGGAUAGUACAUCAUAUGUACCGAAACAGAAAAAAAAGUCAUCAGAGUUGUCUACUCAAUGUAGACCGAAUGAGUUGGUAAAGCUUAUAAAGGACUUAUCUUCGCAACAAGUUCAAGAUGUGAAUGACAUUGGUUUUGGAGGUCUUUGCAGUUUGCAUUUGACUCAAAGUCCUACUACCAUGAUCCCUUUUUUAAUAAAGUCUUUUAAUCCUGGCAGUUGGGUGUUUAGAAUCGAUGCGGUGAAUAAAUUUGUGGUAAGUAAGUUUGAUGUGCAUGAGGUCUUUUUGCUUCCCAUGGGUGAUUAUGAGGUUGAGGAGAUUUCCACUUGUAGAGGAUCUAAGGAAUCUGAUAAUAUCUUGAAAAGAGAGUUUCGAUUUAAGUUUGAUGUUGUUGAUGACAGCCAAGGAAUUUCUUUGAAGGAUGUAGCUGCUAAGAUUCGAUCGAAUGAGAUGCAGGCGGGUGGAGAUGAAUUUAAAAGUUUGUUUGUCCUUUAUGCUAUGGGUAGGUUUCUUGCUCCUAUGUCGAACAAUAAAGUGGAUUUGAAACUUUUAAAAGCUGUUUCUCAAGUAUGUAAAAUUAAAGAAUUUGAUUGGUGCUCAUAUGUGCUGGAGAAGCUUUCUAAUGGAUUUGUGAAAUAUCAUGUAGAUAGUUUGGCUAAUCUUGGAGGUUGUGUUAUCAUGUUAGAAAUUAUAUACUUCCAUAGGUUAGUUUUCAAAUCUCAGGCGUUACCUAGAGAUCCCCCUUGUUCAAUCUUGGACAGAUGAAAAAUUCCAAAAACGUAUUCAUGAUGAGUUAGGUUCUGGGAGUUUUGGGAAUGAGAUUUUGGAUUUAGAGAGUCAUCUCUCUUCGUGUCUUCAAUGUAAUUCAGUACCUUCAGUCCAGGAUAUCCAAAGGAAGUGUUUGGCUGAUAUUUCUCACUGCAAGAAGGUAAUUAGCUUUGAGAUUCCAGAUAGCUUGCCUUCUGACGAGGAGAUACAGAAAACUGCAACAGAUGGCCUGCAAGAGAUUUUGUUGUUAAUGAAAAGAGACUUGGACGUUGUGUCUUCCAUUAUAUUGAUCGAUUGUCAAAAGCAAAGAGUAUGAUCAAUAACGCAGAAAAUAAAGGGAAAGAUAAUAUACAUGUUUCUGAUUCUCCUACUUUGUCUCCAACUCCGGCUUUUGUUCAUGAAGAUGCAUGGCAAGUAUAUAUCGAUAAUGUCACAGAUUCUAUUUAUACUAUGAAAAAAGCUGCUGAUGAUAUGCCAACUUUCCAAUUACUCUCUCAGUCUGAAAACGAGUUAUUAAUUGGUGCCAAGGGUCCAGAUGUUUCUUCCCCAUCCUUUGUUGACAUUUCAAUUAUUGGAGAUGAGUGUGUUAAGUCGUGUUCUCAUGUGGACGAAAUCAACAAAGAGAGAGAUGGUUGCGUUAGAUCUCCAAUGUCUUGGUUGCGUACAUCUUCUAAUAGCCAUAAUGUCAACAAUGAUGGUCUUGGUUCUACAUAUAAUUGUGGGAUUCAAAAUGUCCCUGUCACUUUGGUUUCAAA